rnacentral:rRNA from 1 species
UACAGAGGUUCCAAGCGUUGUUCGGAUUCAUUGGGCGUAAAGGGUGCGUAGGCGGCCCGCUAAGUCAGGUGUGAAAUUUCGGAGCUUAACUCCGAAACUGCAUUUGAUACUGGCGUGCUUGAGGACUGGAGAGGAGAGUGGAAUUUACGGUGUAGCAGUGAAAUGCGUAGAGAUCGUAAGGAAGACCAGUGGCGAAGGCGGGUCUCUGGACAGUUCCUGACACUGAGGCACGAAGGCCAGGGGAGCAAACGGG